rnacentral:rRNA from 1 species
GCUUGUCUCAAAGAUUAAGCCAUGCAUGUCUAAGUAUAAGCAAUUUGUACUGUGAAACUGCGAAUGGCUCAUUAAAUCAGUUAUAGUUUAUUUGAUCUUACCUUACUACUUGGAUAACCGUGGUAAUUCUAGAGCUAAUACAUGCGCCCAGACCCAACUUUUAGGAAGGGUUGUAUUUAUUAGGUACAGAACCAAUGCAAGCUCCGCUUGACCUUUUGGUGAUUCAUGGUAACCGAACGAAUCGCACGGCACCAGCUGGCGAUGGACCAUUUCAGUUUCUGACCUAUCAGCUUCCGACGGUAGGAUAUGGGCCUACCGUGGCAAUGACGGGUAACGGAGAAUUAGGGUUCGAUUCCGGAGAGGGAGCCUGAGAAACGGCUACCACAUCUAAGGAAGGCAGCAGG